AUGUCUCCAACCUCAAUUGCCACUUCCACAAGCACAAUGCAAGCAACUCCUUGAUUAAGAGUUCUCAUUCCCUUGCUAAUCAAGCUGGUCUUUCACAGCCCAGCACCACACUUUCAUGUACUUCACUUAGUCUCACUUCAGUUCAUUCAUCAGUACCUUCGAUUUUGGAUAAAGGUGCCACCGAUCACAUGCUUUGCUUGCUUUCUCUCUUCUUGUCUUCCAUGACUUCUAUUGAUCAAUGUCCAAUUGCCUAAUGGAUCUAGUGUACCGAUUUCUCACAUUUUUCUUUUGACUAUGAGCACAAGUGAGGGUAGGAUGUAAGAUGCCUCGACUUCUUCCUUCGAUCUGUCUUGCAAGUGCAGAGUAACCCUAGGCCGGAUCUCUACUUCAUCGACUGUGUGCUUGCUGUCCAAUCCUUCCCAACUCUGGCCAUUUGUAGCUAAAGUUUUCCCAGUAGCGUCUCGUAAGCACCUUCGUGCUGAGCCGUCAUAGCACUAAAGUGGAUGUUAAACUAAAGGUGCCUCAAUGGGUACCUUCUACCUCAAACACUUCUCCAGCGGCUUCACUAGUUGCUGGUCUACCAUUCUCAGUUUGACGAACUAGAAACUAUAGUUAGAACAUCAACUUGCCUUACCAAUCGCCUACCAUGUCUCCUUUGUAAGGUCUCUUUGGACCCUUCGUCCACCAUCGUCCUCUAUAAAGUCCAGUGUUUCAGCUAUCUUCUUCCUUACUCGCGCCUCCUUGUCAGGCCUAGCUAGGCAAACCGAU
rnacentral:lncRNA from 1 species